AAAGGGAGACCUAAUUCAGGUAUGGGACGAAAAAAAAGUAGUCGCUACCAAGAAUCAAUCCCAAAAGGUCGGAGCGAGGCGAAAUUGGCUUUCAAACUAGGUUCUGGGUUCACACAAGACCUGAAUCAGGAACAAGGGCUAUUAGCUCAGGUGGUUAGAGCGCACCCCUGAUAAGGGUGAGGUCCCUGGUUCGAGUCCAGGAUGGCCCACCUGCACAGGUGGUAAAAACAAGAGAAGCGAGGAAUCAGCACCUUAUCUUACUUACAUAGUAAGAGAGAAUGCUGGCUCUGAGUAAAGAGUCCAGAGGAACCUUGAAAACUGCAUAGAGCUAGGUGAAAAAGCCAAAAAAGAAGACCGCAAG
rnacentral:tRNA from 1 species